GUUUUUAAGUCAUUGUCAUCCUUUGUUUUCGUAUGAAUGUGAUUGAAAAUUUACUGUUGUAAGUUGUAAUUUUACAUUGUUGUUGAGUUUCGGAGUUGUUAUGAAAUGCUUCAGGAGAUGACAAAUAAACUAGGAUAAUUCCAAGACACUUGCAGCUAAAUGAAUCAUGAUGAUGCCUCUGUCUACCUGGCUGCUGAAGUUUGGAGUUGUAAUGAAAUGCUGCAUAAUAUAACAAGAAAACUAGGGGCAUUCCAAGACACUUGCCGUUGGCCAUAAAAAAUGAUGACGUAACAAGCAACGGCUUACCAUUGUUAGAGUUACCAUUGCUCAAUAAGGUUUUCGAGUUGCCAUUGUCUAUUGCUUAAGGAGGUGUUGCCCAGCAUCCAAGCCAUUUUCUAGCAUGAGAUUUCAUUAGGUAAAUUCUUCUUCACUGCUAUUCUUUGGAUUGGUGAACUUUUGUUACUACUCCUCUCUCUUUAGUCUAUCAUUAGGCCUAUAUAAACAAGAUAACGACUUAUUGAACUAUUUUUGCUUUUCA